rnacentral:lncRNA from 1 species
GGACAUAUGAUGUCUUCCUCAGUUUUAGAGGAGAGGAUACCCGCAACAAUUUUGUAGGUCAUCUGUACAAGAAUUUGGUUCAGAAGGGAAUCAAAACCUUCAUAGACGAAGAGGCGCUUCAAAGAGGAGAGGAAAUAUCGUUGGCGCUUCUCAAAGCAAUCGAGCAAUCGAGGAUUUCUCUUGUUGUCUUCUCAGAAAACUACGCUUCCUCACACUGGUGCUUAGAUGAACUCGUUCACAUCUUUCACUGUAAAGAACAACUGCAGCAGAUGGUUUUUCCAGUUUUUUACAAGGUGGAUCCAUCGGAUGUGAGGAGGCAAAGAAAGAGUUUCGGUAAGGCACUUGCUGACCAUGAAAGCAAACUCAAAGAUAACAUGGACAAGGUGUUGAGAUGGAGAGAAACUCUUACGAAAGCAGCAAAUUUGUCUGGCUGGUCAUUCCAGGCAGACGGGUAUUUUUCUGACCUCUAUGUACAAAUAAACUUCAAUUCAUAAGCAUAAUAUGAAGGCUUUUUAGCCAAAAUGGUUUUUCUGAGAUGAGCAUAACUCUUUACUUUGUUCUUCAAGAUUUAAAAUCGAUAGAAGUGGUUCUUGAGAUUGUCCAUCGUCAAUCAUUUUAGUUAUUCCGUGAAAAAAAAAUAUUUGUUAAAUUGAGUGUAUUUUUGUCAAAUCAAUCGCUUCACUUGAACUGGUGGUUUCUCCAGUUUAGUUGAGAUUUCUCACAGAAUGACCAAAGUGAUUAACGGUGGACACUCUCAAGAACCACUUUUAUCGAUUUUAAAUUUCAGUGACCAAAAUGAAGAGUUAUAAGAAUUUCAGCAACUAUUUUAGCUAAAAAGACUAAUAUAAAUAUAUAAUAUUUGAGAAAUGCUAAGGAAACCCUCUCAAAGUGGAACUCUCUUCAUGAGCUCUCUCACACCUCAUAGUUUAAUGUUAGUUUCCUUGCCAACAUUAUAAAAUAUUGUGGCAAAAAAUGAGGUGGCAAAAAGUUCAUAGAGAGUAUCACUUUUGAGAAAUUAUCCUCAGCAUUUUUCAUAAUAUUUUGAUAUUAUUCCCUCACAAUAUUAUAGGAAAACUUGUUUAAGUUAUUCAUUAUUAGUAUGUGAAGCAAACACAUAUUGGAGAAUAUAAUCCCACAUCGGUCAUAUGAUAAAAUAAUAUACAACAAAUAUAUGAGAGUUUGCACUCCUAAUAGAGAAUUUUUGUAGUAAAAUCUAAUACCGAGUAGUAGGAGAUUAAAUUGAGACACUAUUGGUAUUCUUGAUGGUAAAUCAUGUUUGGCCUAUAAAAUUUAUCAACACAUAGCUAAACGCCAUUCAUCCAUACUUAAUAUAUAAUGCCAACAACCCAUUUAGGGUCACGGACUUCACCAAAAAGAAUGCCCCCCCUCUCCAAAUAAAAAAGUUCAAAACCAGUCGAAAUGAAUGCAUAAAAUAGUGCAGAGGCAAUUUUGUCAUAAAAAGAAUUUUUUUAUUGUUUUUUUAUGAUUAGUAUCUUACUAUUACGUGGAAUAUUCAGGAGUUUCUUCUAGCAUGGUCUAAUAUUAUUCAUUUAAUCCAAAUGUUUGACUUUCUUUUUCUUAAGUAGAGUUGUCUGUCUGCUCUUGAAAUAUUGGUUACAUGGAACAUCAACGGAUUUCUUCUAGUUUAAUUAUAAUAAUGUUCUUUUUUAUGCUUUUAAACUUGUAGGCAUGAAUCUAAAUUUAUUCAAAAAAUUGUUGAAGAUAUUUCGGUCCCAGUUUUAGAUAGUACCCAUUUGAAUGUGGCAAGGUAUCCAGUUGGAAUAGAGUCUCGCCGUUCCUCCGACGCCGCACCGCCCGCAACUACCGCCAAUUCUGAUCAAGACCGAGAUCGGGAUAGAGAGAGAGACCGAGACCAAGAUCGAGAUCGCAGUCCUUCAAAGGUGCUGCUUCCGCCCUCGCUUUCUUAGCUGGAAGAUUUGUAGGAUUCGCUUUCUUAUGUAUGCUGUGUUACUGAUUGGUUUGGUGAUGCAGGCACAAGAUUUCAGGCAGCCGGAACCUCAGAUAAGCAUGAAGACUUGUUUGCAGAAGAAGUUUGAAAUAGUUUGCAAAUUCUUAUUCGUUUUGUGUUGGAUCAUCUUCUUAGUAUUUUGGGUCCGUGGCGCCGCACGCAUCGGUUUUUUUAGCGAGUUUUUUCAAUAAAUUGUAAGAGACUUGUUGCAUAUUUAAAUUAACACACAUUAUAUCCUUGUUUCCUAUGUUUUCAGUAUAUUCCAAUGCUUUAUUAUAUAUAUGUCAUUCUAUUUUGUAGUUUAUGAUGAAAUUAUAUAUUGUAAGUAUAAGCAGACAUUUAUUUACACGAAAUAUAAUAGAUUUACUUAAAUCUACCUAGUCCGCUUAGGUGCUCCCUUAGCUGCCUAGGCACUAGGUUCUAAUGCACCGCCCGACUAGCACCUAUCGUCUUUUAGAACCUUGGUUAUGGUAGUGGUGGGAGUUAAAUAGGCGUAUGCCUAGCCUAUGGAGCUCACAAAAAAAAACCAAGGAUAAUUUUUAUUUUGUAUUUCAUUUUUUUAAUAAAAUGGAAGGGACUUUUGAAUGCUUCGAUGAACAUUUAUUAUAUGGUUGCUCAUUAUGUUUUCAGUAUGUUCUAAUACUUUAUAAUUUAUAUUAUUUUAAUUUAUAAUGUAUGUAUUUCAAUACAAUUAUGUAUUUUAAAACAGACCCUGUUAUACACUAUUGGCUUGGUAAUUUGAAUCAAAUCCACACCAUCUCAAUAAAAUUCCAAUCCAUCCCAAUACAUUUGGGUCAAAAGUUGGAGUUGCAAAGCACAGAAAAGACAUAUUUGGGCCUAGUGGGUCUCACGGUGGUGCUUAGAUGAAUCGGUUUGAGUCUGACCGAGUCUGAGUGUUCCCAAAGAAAACGAAUAACUCGGUUCAUGACGAGAGAUUUUUCAGUGCAACCAAAUCAUGAGCCAUACAUUACAUGUCACUAUAUAAAUGAUAAAAUAUGUGUUAAAAAAUUGAUAACUAAAAAUUUAAACUUUCUGCCACUUGCAUAAAAAUACGUGAUCAUUCGGUAUUCCCAUCAUAAUAAAAAAUUUCUAGUCCAUGACAGAAGCGGCACACCUGGGAAGGUUGGUUCGUCACUGAGACUUCAAUAAAUACUUGCAUUUGCCUACACACUUUAUGUGUAUGCACACAUUUUUUUAGAAAAUGAGAAGGAGAGAGGGAGAGAGAGAGAGAAAGAACAUGAGGGAGUGAGAGGUUUUUUUUUUGGUUUAUUUUUUUUUUAAAUUUUAAAUAUUAAAGAUAUUUUAACAUCAUAUAUAGGUAAAGUUUCAAUAAAAAAUAGUAAAAUUUAGACUUGUGAAAUUACAUUAUUAUCUAUCAUUUUUUUUUGUGAUAAAAGACUAAGUUAUUUUUCAUCCUCUUUUGAGACAAACAAGUUUCAUUAAUUAAUAGAGAUUAGAAACCGCAGGAGCUGCCAUUUCCGAUGAUCGAAUGCUUUAGAGAAAGAGAGAUGGCGCGGCAAGAAAGCAAAGAGCCCUGCAAGAAAGAAGCCUGCAACAUUCAAGCAUGCCCCUCCAAGAACAACUUCCUCCCUCAAAAGUACGCCCCUCCGUCCUCUUUUUCCUCCUCUUCUCUUUAUUAUUAUCUGUAUCACUUGUUUGGUUUCCGAGAAAACAUUGUUUGGUUGCCGAGAAAAUAGAGGAACAUUUCUAUCAUCUCCAUUUUCUUUCCCAAGAGUGAAGCUUUAAAAUUCAUGGGUCGAAUCGAAUAUCUUUUCAUUCAAGAACAAUUUUUGUUUAUUUCUCCAUCGUAUUGUAAUUAAUAUAAAAUGCGUUGUGAUUUGAUUUCUAGCUGGUUAGGGGUUUUACCAUUGUGAUUGGCUGCUUGCUUUACAACUUCUGUUUGUUUUACUGUUUCCUGAGCUUUUCAAAAAAUAUAUAAUCUGGCUCUUUUCAAUUUAUACGGUAAGACGGUAAGGGUGUGUUUGUUAGGGAUGAUUGGGUUGGAUAGGAUAAUUGCUAGAUUCAAGGCAUAUCCAAGUUGAAGGUAGAAGACAAGUUACUCAUGAAGGAAAGUUGUCCAUUCGAAUUCCCACAAAAAACUAGGAUUAGAUGGGGUAACUUUCCUCUCUGAUCAUCGUUUUCGACAUUCAACUUGGACAAAUUUGGGAGUUGUGUUGCAUUUUUCCCUUAAAUAUGCCUUGAAUCUAGUGAGUUAUGCUACCCAAGCUAAUCCUCCCUAACAAACGCACCCAAACAGUUUCCACAAGCUGGUUUUCUUAACAAAACUUUCUUUUAGCACCAUGGAGGUAAAUCUAUAAUCUCCAACGAGGAGGAAUUGAACCGAUACUUGUGGAUGCAGUCUAGCUGUACUGACUUGAAGUUCUAUAAUCUCUCAGCAUCUCAUCCUUUUUCGUAAUCGAAUGAUCAUGGAUUCAACGACCAAUGAAGGAGCCUCUUCCUCUUCGUCUUCUUCUUACACCCAUUCAUGGACAUAUGAUGUCUUCCUCAGUUUUAGAGGAGAGGAUACCCGCAACAAUUUUGUUGGUCAUCUGUACAACAAUUUGGUUCGGAAGGGAAUCAAAACCUUCAUAGACGACGAGGCGCUUAAAAGAGGAGAGGAAAUAUCGGCAGCGCUUCUCAAAGCAAUCGAGCAGUCGAGGGUUUCUGUUGUUGUCUUCUCCGAAAACUACGCUUCCUCAGAGUGGUGCUUAGAUGAACUCGUUCACAUCUUUCACUGUAAAGAACAACUGCAGCAGAUGGUUUUUCCAGUUUUUUACAAGGUGGAUCCAUCGGAUGUGAGGAACCAAACAAAGAGUUUGGGCAAGGCACUUGCUCACCAUGAAAGCAAACUCAAAGAUAACAUGGACAAGGUGUUGAGAUGGAGAGAAACUCUUACAAAAGCAGCAAAUUUGUCUGGCUGGUCAUUCCUGGCCGACGGGUAUUUUUCUGACCUCUAUGUACUAAUAAGCUUCAAUUCAUAAGCAUAAUACGAAGACUUUUUAGCCAAAAUGAUUUUUCUAUGAUGAGCAUAAUUCUUUACUUUGUUCUUUAAGAUUUUAAAUCGAUAGAAAUGGUUCUUGAGAUAUCCAUCGUCAAUCAUUUUGGUUAUUCUGUGAAAAAAAUCUCAAUUUGUUAAAUCAAUCACUCCACUUGAACUGGUGGUUUCUCCAGUUUAGCUGAGAUUUCUCACAGAAUGACCAAAGUGAUUAACAGUGGACACUCUCAAGAACCAUUUUUAUCGAUUUUAAAUUUCAAUGACCAAAAUGAAGAGUUAUAACAAUUUCAGCAACUAUUUUAGUUAAAAAGACUAACAUAAAUAUAUAAUAUUUGAGAAAUGCUAAGGAAACCUCUCAAAGUGGAACUCUCUUCAUGAGUUCUCUCACACCUCAUAGUUUAAUGUUAGUUCUCUUGCCAACAUUAUAAAAUAUUGUGGCAAAAAAUAAGGUGGCAAAAAGUUCAUAGAGAGUAUCACUUUUGAGAAAUUAUCCUUAGCAUUUUUCAUAAUAUUUUGAUAUUAUUCCCUCACAAUAUUAUAGGAAAACUUGUUUAAGUUAUUCAUUAUUAGUAUGUGAAGCAAACACAUAUUGGAGAAUAUAAUCUCACAUCGGUCAUAUGAUAUAAUAAUAUAUAACAAAUAUAUGAGAGUUUGCACUCCUAAUAGAGAAUUUUUGAAGUAAAAUCUAAUACCGAGUAGUAGGAGAUUAAAUUGAGACACUAUUGGUAAUCUUAAAAGAAUUUUUUUAUGAUUAGUAUCUUACUAUUACGUGGAAUAUCCAAAGGUUUCUUCUAGCAUGGUUUAAUAUUAUUUAUUUAGUCCAAAUGUUUGACUUUCUAUUUCUUAAGUAGAGUUAUUUGUCUGCACUUGAAAUAUUGAUUACAUGGAACAUUCACGGAUUUCUUCUAGUUUAAUUAUAAUAAUGUUAUUUUUUAUGCUUUUAAACUUGUAGGCCUGAAUAUAAAUUUAUUCAAAAAAUUAUUGAAGAUAUUUCGGUCCAAGUUUUAGAUAGUACCCAUUUGAAUGUGGCAAAGUAUCCAGUCGGAAUACAGUCUCGUGUCAAACAAUCCAGUUCGGUUUUUUUGGAUCUUGGAUCUGCUCCUGUCCUCGAUCGCGAGCAAUUCGAGAGAGACCGAGAUCGAGAUCGCAGUCCUUCAAAGGUGCUGCUUCCGCCCUCGCUUUCUUAGCUGGAAGAUUUGUAGGAUUCGCUUUCUUAUGUAUGCUGUGUUACUGAUUGGUUUGGCGAUGCAGGCACAAGAUUUUAGGCAGCCGAAAACUCAGAUAAGCAGCAAGAUGAGUCUGAGGAAGAAGUUUGAAAUAGUUUGCAAAUUCUUAACCGUUUUGUAUUACAUCAUCAUCGUAGUACUUGUGGCCAGACACCACGAUUUUUUUAGGGAAAUUUUUAUAGAAAGUAUAAUAAAUUUACCUAAAGUUGUCUAGUCCGCUUAAGUGCCCCUAGCCGCCUAGGCACAAGGUUCUAAUCCAUCGCCCUACUAGCGCCUAUCGUCUUUUAGAACUUUAGUUAUAUUAGUGGUGGGAGUUAAAUAGGCGUAUGCCUAGCCUAUGGAGCUCGCGAAAUAAAGGGAUAAUUUUUAUUUUGUAUUUCAUUUUUUUAAUAAAAUGAAAGAGACUUUUGAAUACUUCGAUGAACAUUUAUUAUAUGGUUGCUCACUAUGUUUUCAGUCGGUUCUAAUUUUUUAUCAUUUAUGUUAUUUUAAUUUGCAAUGUAUGUAUCUCAAUACAAUUAUGUAUUUUAAAACAGACCUCGUUAUGCACUAUCGGCUUGGUAAUUUGAAUCAAAUCCACACCAUCUCAAUAAAAUUCCAAUCCAUCCCAAUACAUUUGGGUCAAAAGAUGAGUUGCAAAGCAUAGUAAAGACAUAUUUUGGCCCAGUGGGUUUCAAAUUUUUUUGGCCCAGCCCUUUAUCAAAAAUGAAUUUUGUAUCAAAACGGAUUAUGUUUUGACAUAUAGUCAUUUGGCCGGUUCUGUUGGAAAUUGCCUUAGCUUUGUUAUUUUAGGCUGACAUCAUAGUGGCUUUUAAGUGAAAAUGAUUCGAAAAUGGUUCAAUUUUCACAUUGACCCUCUACUCUACCCUUUACAAAAGUUCACAAAAUUUACAUUAGCAAGAAAGACACACCAAAACCAAUACGCGCUAAAAUUACCGUAAACUCCCUCCAUGACAACUCUAACUGGCACAAUUUCAACGAAGGUAAUAUAUCUCCCAACCCAAAUGAUAUAAUAAAGUAAUUCCGGAUAUAAAUGAUAGAAAAAGUAAAAUGAGACAUAAUAUAGAAAGGUAAAAUUAGAAAUUUUGUGGAACUAGAGGAACACUUGUUUCAAUUGUAUUCAUUAUUAGAAUGUGAAUCAAACACAUGUUGGAGAAUGGGAUUUCACAUCCGUCAUAAUCACAUGACAAAAUAUGUGCUAUUAAUAUAUGGAAGUUUCAACACCUAAUAUCAACGAGAUUUUUGUAAUAAAAUCUAACACCUAGUAAUAAGAGAUAAAAUUGAGACAAUAUCAUAAUGUUGAUGGUGGACUAUGUUCCACCUAUGAAGUUUAUCAACACAUAGCUAAAUGUCAUUUAUCUAAAUAUAAUAAUGUUCUUUUUUUGGCCUUUAAACUUGUAGGCAUGAAUCUAAAUUUAUUCAAAAAAUUGUUGAAGAGAUUUCGGUCCAAGUUUUAGAUAGCUCCUAUCUGAAUGUGGCGAAGUACCCGGUUGGAGUAGAGUAUCGUGUCAAUCAAUCCGGUUCGGUUUGUUUCGAUUUUCGAUAUGCUCCUGUCCUCACUUGCCAGCAAUUAGAGCAGUUCCAGCCUUGCAUAUAGGCCGGGGGACAGGGGAGAAGAAAGGGCCCGAGGGCCUGUCAAUCACGUCCAGCCUUGAAGGGCCCGAGCUCGUGGAGAAGGCCCGAGCAGGGGCCUGUCAAUUUGUGACAGCCCCGGAGCCCGAGCUCCAUGCCCAUUUUUUAUUUUUUUCUGUCAGGCGCGUGCACCCCACUCGCGAGUGGGGGCGCGUCGCCCGACCAGUUUUCAGAAAAGUCAGCCGACUUUUCAGACAGAAAAGUUACCGUUGGGAAGACACGUGGCUUCCCACGGUCCGUUCGAUCUCAACGACUCCUUCAUUUGGACCGUUGAAUCUCAACGGUAAAAAAAAAAAAUCUAAUUUAAUAUCAACCGUUCGAUCUGAGAUCAACGGUCGAUAUUAAUAUGCUUUAUAAAUAAAGAAAAAAUAGUUUUAAAAUUAAGAAAAGUUACCGUUGUGACACGUGGCACAAUCUGGAGUGUUGGAAUUCAAAUUUUUUUAAAUCCAACGGCAGAGAUUAAUUAUUUGAAUAAAAAUUAAAAAAAAUGGAAAAAAUCCGAAAAAAAAUUGUAAAAAAUCUGAAAAAAAAUUGUAAAAAAUUGUUUUUACUUUUCUAUAAAUACCACUUCUUCUCCAUCUACCUUACACCACAAUUUCAUAUUUUCUCAACUACUUUCAAUCAAAUUCCUAUCUUUCUCUCAAAGUUUCAAUCCAAUUUUUUUCCACAAAAUGACUAUUGAUGCAGGUACGAAUUGGUCGCUUCUUGAAGAUGUUGCGUUGUGCACUAGCUGGGUUGAAGUUACUCAUAAUUCCCUUACGGGUAAUGAGAUGCAGUUGCGAGAAAUGUGGAGUUUAAUUCAUACCAAAUAUCUUGAGCAAAUGAGUGGGAAAAGAACCAAAGAAUCGAUGUCCAGUCGUUAGAAAAUACUUAGCCAUUCCUUUAGUACAUGGAGAGAUGCAUUGACACAAGCUAGUAGUAAUGUUCGAAGUGGGGCAAAUUAUGCGGAUGAGGUAAGAAUAUAUUAUAAUUAUUUGUUUGUAUUAUUAUUUUGUUACCUAAUUUGAUUAUAAUUAUUUGUUUGUAUUAUUUAUUUGUUACCUAAUUUCAUUAUUAUUAUUAUUUGUUUGCAUUAUUUAUUUGUGACCUAAUUUCAAUAUUAUUAUUUGUUUGUAUUAUUUAUUUGUUACCUAAUAAUUUCAUUAUUAUUAUUUGUUUGUAUUAUUUAUUUGUUACCUAAUAAUUUCAUUAUUAUUAUUUAUUUGUAUUAUUUAUUUGUUACCUAAUUUCAUUAUUAUAAUUAUUUGUUUGCAUUAUUUAUUUGUGACCUAAUUUCAUUAUUAUUAUUUGUUUGAAUUAUUUAUUUGUGACCUAAUUUCAUUAUUAUUAUUUGUUUUUAUUAUUUAUUUGUGGCCUAAUUUCAUUAUUAUUAUUUGUUUGUAUUAUUUAUUUGUUACCUAAUAAUUUUAUUAUUAUUAUUUGUUUGUAUUAUUUAUUUGUUACCUAAUAAUUUCAAUAUUAUUAUUUGUAGCAACUUCAAGCACAAGCAUGGUAUGCUGCCAAAAUCAAAUCAAGAAACAAAUCAUUCACCCGAUGGGAAUGUUGGAAUAUUGUUAAAGAUUGUCCUAAAUUCAAAGUUGUGCCUGUUGGUCCAGAAGUAUGCAUGAACAACAUCCCUCUACACAGCACCUUUGUACACAACACCCCUCCACACUCUACACCCGAUCAUGGCUCCCAUGUUGAUGAAGAAGAUGGAGAAGAAGUGCCUGAAACGCCCAUUCCAGAACAAGCGUCGGGGUCGACCCGUUAUCCAAUUAGGCAUCAAGGUAAGAAGGCUUCAAAGAGGAAAGGGAGUGCUUCCAAGAAUGAUUAUGGAAAGUUUAUGCAAGAACUUGCUCGUCAAGGUGAAUUGACAUUGGCGCGGGAAUUGGCGAAAUAUGAGGCUGAUAAGGCUAGAGAUGAGGUAAAAGCUGCAGCUAUUCAACAAGCAUUUCAAGCUAAACAGAGGGAAAAAGAGCUACUUAGGCAAGAAAGGGAGUUGCUUAGAGAAGAAAGAAUUGCACAACGAGAUCGUGACAUUAUGAACAUGCGUUUAGAAGGGAUGUCUCCAAAUUCUAAAUAUUUUUGGCAGGCGUGCAAGAGAAGCGAGAUCAAGACAAGAUGGUCUUAGCACAACAAGACAAGAUGAUCCUAGCACCACAGAUUAGUUAAGUGGUGAGGAAUAGGGUACUUUUGUAAUCGGAGCCCAUAGUUUUCCAAUCACUUUGGGUUGUAAUUUAUUAUUUAUGUUGUUUCCAUGUAAUCGGAAUAGGGUACUUUUGUAAUCGGAAUAGGGUACUUAUGUAAUUUAUUAUUUAUGUUGUUUCUAUUUUAUUGAAGUUAGUACUUUAUUAAAAGUGAGAGUACAUAUAUUUAAUUUCGUAAUAUAUUUAUCCUAAUAACAGAAUCUUUAUUCAUCAAAUUGUUCACGUAUAAUGAAAUUAUAAAACACACCAAAUAAAACUAAAAAACUCACCAAUUGGAAUUACAUAAACACACCAAAUAAAAUUACAUAAACAUACGAAAUAAUAAAAAACUCACUACAAAAAACACACCAAAUAAAAUUACAUAAACAUACCAAAUAAUUCACACCAAAUAAAAUUACAUAAACAUACGAAAUAAUAAAAAACUCACUACAAAAAACACACCAAAUAAAAUUACAUAAACACACCAAAUACAAACAAACAUACUAAAUAAACUUAAGUAUUUUCAGCUUGUUUCAAUGCCCACUGGUGCUCUAUCAAGUCAAUUUGCCGAUCAAUGUGCAUAGAUGACCUUUGAAGUGCAGUAUAUCGUUGAAUGACCUUUUCAUUGUAACGUCCAUCCCUUUCUAAUGGGUCGUGUUGCACGGGUUCUUCAGUGGCAUCAUGCGCACAAUAUAUCCGUGUUCUUGAAUUGUUCAUCGUGUCUGGCUCUGGCUCAUAUUCAUCAACCGCAUCAUAAUCGAACUCAUCUUCCACAAUCAUGUUGUGAAGAAUGACGCACGUCAUCAUGAUGGAUCGAAGUGACUCUACAUCGAACAUUCUGGCAGCACCCCUGACGAUCGCCCAACGAGCUUGAAGGAUACCAAAACAAUGCUCCACAUCUUUCCUGCACCCCUCUUGACAGCUUGCAAAGUGUUUUUCCUUUGCACUUCGUGGACGUGGCACUGUUUUGACAAAUGUUUCCCACCGUGGGUAAAUGUCGUCAGCUAGGUAGUAUGCCCCUUCGUACCUACGUUCGUUGACGACGUACGUGACUUUUGGUGCCUUUCCUUGCAGGACGUCGUUGAACACUGGGGAUUGGGCAAGGACGUUGAGAUCAUUUUGAGCCCCCGGAACCCCGAAAAAGGCGUGCCAUAUCCAUGUAUCAAAAGAUGCCACUGCCUCCAAAAUGAUAGAUUUUGAUCCUUUUCUUUCCCCAUAUGCGCCUUGCCAUGCACUUGGACAGUUUUUCCACGUCCAGUGCAUACAAUCGAUGCUUCCUAUCAUCCCAGGAAAACCUCGCAUCUCGCCCUUCUUCAGAAGCCUUUGCAAGUCCCAGCGAGUAGGUUUUCGGAGGUACUCUGCGGUGUACAAAGAUUCGACUGCUCCGCAAAACCUCAUCAGGGCCUCAAGAAUGGUUGAUUUCCCCAUCCUCGUUAUCUCAUCCACUUGGUCUGCAGAUGCUCCAUACGCAAGCAUCCACAACGCAGCAGUGAUUUUUUGCUCAGGCAGGAGACCCAUAACACCACAAGCAUCCUUCUUUUGCACAAAGUAAGAAUCAUGGUUGCAAACAUCAGUCAUGAUUUUGUUGAACAAAUGUCGUUCCAUUCUAAAAUGGCGUCUGAAGUACGUAUCAGGAAAUGCACUGUUAUGGACAAAGUAAUCGUCCAACAGCUCUUCACCCCGUCGUUGCCUGCUUCUAUCAAGGUUUCUUGAACGGUUGGGCCUGCAUAUAUGAGCAACAGUCUGGAUGACUCGACGGGAAUGUGAGGCUCUGGUCAUUCUUGUUUCGUCAUCUCUCCUUCUACGUUCCUCAUCCUCUUCCAUCUCAUUUUCGGCUAUCUGAAGGUUGAACAUUCCUUCAGAUUGGUUAAACAAUUCUUCCUCUUGCUGAUCGAUUUCCCACAUCAUCCUUGAUGAAGAAGAAGACAUUGUAAUGAUGGAUGGAGAAGAAGAAGCAGAAACUAUGAAUAAUGAGAUAGAGAUGUUGAGAAAAUUGGUGUGAGAUUUGUGAGGAUGGAUGGUGGAUUAUAUGGACGAUUCAGAAAGGAUCGGAUUGUAGAUAAGGCCACGUGGCAUGCCGUCAUUCGUUAAAAAUCUGAUCGAAAUCUAUCCUCAAAGAUUCUGAAAAGAUAAUGACACGUGGCACGAUCGUAUUAGAUAAAAAUCUUAUCGAAAUCGAUCUCCAAUAAUUAUAUUUUCGGAUAAUGACAUGUUGCGCAAUUUUGAACGAGUUAAAAUCUGAUCGAAAUCUAUCGUCAAAGAUUCUCAAAAGAUAACGACACGUGACACGAUGACAUUGGAUAAAAAUCUUAUCGAAAUCCAUCGCUAAAUAAUUGUUUUUUUUAUAAAAUGACACGUGACGCAACGAGAACGAUUUAAAAAAUCUUAUCCGAAAUUACAAAUAAUUUUAUUUUGUAUUAUUUAAACAAACAAAAAAACUAAUAUUUUAUUGCCUAUUGCCAGGGGGAGGGCUCCAAAGGUGAAGAUGCAAAUGGCAAUUACUGUUCAUUUAUGGUAGUUACUAUUCAUUAAAGGCAGUUACUGUUCAAAAUGGUGGAUUCACUAGUGGAUUGCCAGGGGGAGGGCUCCAUGGGUGGAGUUGCUCGCCAUCCAACGCCAUCAAGAACAAACCGAGGAUCAAAAGGGCCACCAGCACCUUCCCCUCUCCAGUCUCUCCCACCCGUGUCGUUCCUCUGACGCCGCACCACCCGCAACCACCACCAAUUCUGACCGAGACCGAGACCGAGACCGAGAUCGGGAUAGAGAUAGAGACAGAGAUCGAGAUCGCAGUCCUUAAUCGUGCUGCUUCCGCCCUCGCUUACUCAGGUGGAAGAUUUGGUAGUAUUGGCUUCGAUCACUGUCGCAGUCCUUCAAUGGUUGCCAUUGUGGCUGCUUUGAUCCUUAAAAAUUGUAUUUUGAUUUGAGUUUUGACAGUGGUUUCUGUGCACACAUCUGUUUAUUUUAGGUGAUGACAAAAUUACAAAAUGCAUGUAAUUUUAUAUUAAAAGAAUUUUUGGGACUAGAAAAACUCACAGAUACAUUUCAGCUUUUUUCUGGAGAAAAUUCUCCUCUUCUUUGCCACAAGUCUUUGAGUUUCAAACCCGAGAUUUCCAGUUUUUAGUUUUAAAAAAGUCUCGUAAUUCUCCAUUUAUCACUGAACCACCGGCUAGUAAUUGGUUAUGCAUAAUUGUUGAGAAAGGUGAAAUAGAUAAGAAAAAUAUAGAAAAUAACUGAAACUAUCAUCUGACUAAUCACCAAUAAAAUGGAAAGUCUGCUUAUGUGGAAGAAUGGUCAAAGUUUUAAAUUUGAAUUCAGGAUUUUUCCUAAAACAUGUCAAUGCCUUAUUUGUGUAUCGCCUAAUUACGACGGGCCUUCAUUUUCAACUAUCUAUUUUGUCGUGGGUUAAAAUUUUUUCCCUUCCACGUCCCUCCGGGUGCUAGUGUAAUUAAGUUAAAAUUAGUAAUUUGCUUGUAUUUUUUUUUUUGAAUAAAAGUACGAUAUUUAUUGAGCAAAUCAGAAAACGUAUAAACUGAAGAUAUUGUUUACUCUGGGCCUCGAUAAAACUUUGCCGGAACUUUUAAUCCGGUUGAAGGGAAAAAAGUGUCCCGCACAACAAGAAAACCUAUCCUCAAAUGACAAUACAUAGGCAAGUUACGAAACAUCUUCGAACAAAAUAUCCCUAAGCAAAUUAGGGGGUUCUUAAAACCACAUAAACUGUUGAUUACUACCAAUUCCCACUCAAGCAAGGCGAUACGUUGCCAAGUUACGUUCCCGCUGAACGUGGUUUAACAACGGUUGAGGCAAGGUUUUGAGUAAAUAGCAAAGGUCGUUGAUAAUAGGACCAAAAGGUGAACAAUCUUCAUCCUGACCCUUCAUGGCAGCCAAUACCAUAAUUGAGUCUCCUUUGAAUACUACACUCUUACCAACUGGGCAAUAAGCUUGGGCCAAUAAAACAGCUUUACUGGCAGCAAAGAGCUGAUCAGCAUGGAAAGCAGAGCUUGUCCUUCCAAUGGUACCAGCAGCAGCAACGAUGAACUCCCCCAUGUGAUCCGGAAGAACAACACCAAAGCCACCUCGUAAACCUUGUUGAAUCCACGCCCCAUCAAAGUUACAUUUAACCCAAUCUACAUAAGGUUUUCUCCACUUCUGGGGGGUACGGUUUGACUUCCUCGCAAUAGAUUAUGCCAUUUUUGAUACUCUUGCAGUCAACGCUCUGCUCGAAACACCACCUCCUGCGACGACAAAAAGGAUCCAUUCCAAAGCGCAUCAUUUAUAUUCUUCCGCAGCAUCCAUAAGGUCAUCAAACAAAAGUAAAAAACCGAGGAUGGAAAGUGCAUAGCAAUUUGUAAAAACCAUUGUAUAAGUUGUUGAGUGUUGCUAUUCUCAAGCCUGAGUCCCAAACCACCAAACCAAACCGCCUUCGCCAUGUUGCAAUCCCUUAGUACAUGUUCUGUCGAUUCGCCGCUUGAACCACAAAAACCACAUAAAUUAUCCACAGCCACUCGGCUCUUUGUAAGGUUCGAUUUUGUGGGAAGAGAGUCCAAACACGAAUCUUGACGUUCCCGGAAACACAUGCCUUCCAUAAUUUCUUCUAUGACUUUUCCCUUCCAUCAUCAGAUGAAGAAUAAGAAGAAGCAUUUGCGCCAUCCCCGGCUGAGGGAAUGACUCUACGUGCCACAUGGUAGGCACUUCGGUCUGAGAACUUCCCAUUGCGUUCAUAAUGCCAAAUUCGACAAUCCACAACCGAACACAUACUGAUGGGAAGGCUGACAAUUAGUUCCAUUUCCUCCUGAGCCCAUUGUCACGAGUCGGCAAGGAAGAGAUUAUCCACCGUCACUGCAACAUCCCAGUACACCAACGGUUGUUAAAGGAAAGAUAAUCUCAUGAUCUGAUUGUGAGCUAUUCUAGCAUUUGGUGAUUGGUCAACUCUUGGGCUAGAGUAAUUGUAGGAUGUAAAUACAAUUAGCUUGAUUAUAGACUCUGUUUACCUAAUAUAGCUUAUAGCUUCUGUAUAAAUCGAUCUCCAUGUAUCUCAAUAUUCAUAUCAAUGAAAUAUACAAUUCCACAAUUUAUCUUGGUAUCAGAGCACCGAUCUUGGUGACUCUAUUACGCUUCCGCCACAAUAAGCUUUCCUCAAACACCAUAGCCACCACAAUGGCAGAACCAACCAAACCUGAAAUCAAAUCAGCCGAGAAUUCCAUGGAGUUCUCAAACCCGUAUACCUUACACCACUCGGAUCAUCCGGGACUGAUCCUAGUUUCCAAAACACUUGACGGAAACAAUUACGGACAAUGGAGCCGUGCUAUGCGCAUGGGUCUUAGCGCAAAGAACAAGAUCGGAUUUAUCGAUGGAACCAUUAAGGCUCCAGCAUCCUCAGACGCGAAACAUGCAGCCUGGAAGAGAUCUAACGACAUGGUCACACUGUGGAUUGUAAACUCAGUCCACUCAGACAUAGCAGGCAGCAUCAUGUACACUGAAACCGCAGUUGCAGUUUGGAACGAUCUGAGGGACAGAUUCUCACAAAGCAGCGACUCAAGAAUCUAUCAAAUUCGACAAGAAAUUGUCGAGAACCGCCAAGGGCAGCUCACUGUCUCUGCCUAUUACACCAAGAUGAAAGCAUUAUGGGACGAGUUAGCAUCCUACCAUGACCCAUUCACCUGCACUUGUGAAGGUUUGAAAGGGCUUGCUGAGCGAGAAGAGAAGGAAAGAGUUAUGCAAUUCCUAAUGGGAUUGAACGACUCUUACUCAGUCGUACGAGGCUCGAUUUUGAUGAUGAGUCCACUUCCGGAUACACGCCGAGUUCAUGGCCUAAUUCUCCAACACGAACGACAAAUGGAUGUGGUAAGUCGUCGUGAAAUGGGGACGAGUUCUCAUGCAAUGCAAGUUCAGCGCCCUCCAGCGCCGUCAUCAUCUAAUGACAGGUUUCCUAGCCCUUCUGCAGGUUCAUUCUCACGCAAAUCACUUAAGUGCACUUACUGUGAUGGAGAUGGGCACUUGGUGGACAGAUGCUAUUACAUCAUUGGGUUUCCAGUGGGCCACAAGUGGCAUGGCAAAAAUGUGAAGCCUAAGAACAGGAAAGCAGCAGCCCAUAAUGCCGAGAUCACCAAGCCUGCUGCGACCACCAACCCAACCACUUCCAACGGCCCAACUUUCACUACCGAGGAAUAUAAUCAGAUAAUUGCCAUGCUCCGCAACGGUAAUGGUCAAUCACUCGCAGAUGCGAAAGGUAUUUUCUCACCCACAUGCAAUAUAGCACAAAAGGAUGCACACUCAACUUUAUAUUGGAUUGUUGAUAGCGGAGCUACCGACCAUAUAUCUCAUUCACCACCAACUCACAACAUCGUUGCUACUCAGCAUGACUUUGUUGGUUUACCAAAUGGGGGGCAAGCGGAAAUACAAAAUAUUGGCUCAAUAAAAUUGUCGCAUGACUUAUCCCUUGAUAAAGUUCUUUAUGUACCAAAGUUCCGCGUCAAUUUGUUGUCUGUUAGUAAGUUGACAAGAGCUUUGCGGUGUAUAGUGACAUUUUAUCCUGAUUUUUGUGUUGUGCAGGACAUGGAUACGAAGAGGAUGAUUGGCCUGGGCAAGCAUUUUGAUGGGCUAUACUACCUUACACCAAGUCAAAAUCCUCACCUCGCCAACCAUAUUACUCACACCACAAGUCUUUGGCAUCGGCGCCUCGGGCAUCCCUCAUCCGCACCCUUACUCUCGCUAGCUAAGAAUAAUACUGAAAUAAUGUUUGAUUCCAAACACCUUUGUGAAGUUUGUCCUUUAGCCAAACAAACUCGAUUACCUUUUUCUACUAGUACUAUUAAAUCUACUGCACCAUUUGAUUUAAUUCAUUGCAACAUUUGGGGACCUCACAAAAUACAAACACAUUCUGGGGCACGCUAUUUCCUUACUAUUGUGGAUGAUUUCACUCGUUUCACAUGGGUACAUCUUAUGAAUUUUAAGUCAGACACACAAAUGUUAUUAAAAUCAUUUUUUUCUUGGGUAAAGACUCAGUUCCACACCAACAUUAAGGCUCUUCGUGCCGAUAAUGGUGGUGAAUUCAUUUCCAUGCGUUCUUACCUAGACUCUUGUGGCACUAUUUUACAACAUUCUUGUCCUUACACACCACAACAAAACGGGGUAGUCGAACGUAAACAUAGGCAUCUUUUAAAUGUAGGUCGUGCUCUCCGUUUUCAGGCCAACUUACCUUUAAAAUUUUGGGGGGAAAGUAUUCAAACCGCUUGUUAUCUCAUAAAUCGCCUACCUACACCCUUGCUCUCUCACAAGUCUCCCCACGAGAUUUUACAUGGCAAACCACCCUCUUAUGAGCACUUGCGAGUUUUUGGAUGCCUUUGUUACGCCACCAACCUCACACCCACCCACAAAUUCGACAUUCGUGCUAUACGUUGUGUUUUCAUUGGAUACCCUCUUCAUCACAAGGGUUAUACAGUAUAUGAUCUAGCCACCCAUAAAUUUUUCGUGUCCCGCGACGUUACAUUCCAUGAACACAUUUUCCCUUAUACCACUUCACCACCCACGGACCAAAAUGAUUUUCCCAUUUUACCAAUGGGGGUUCGAGACUUGGGAGCAGCCUCUCCAUAAAUGGGGGUAAGGCUAGCCGACAUUCACCUCUCCCAGACCCUGCGUAAAGCGGGAGCCUUGUGCACUGGGUACGACCUUUUACCAAUCCUUUAUUCACCACAUUACCCAAAUGAACCCAUCAUUCCCAAUGCACAUGAAUCCCACGGCCCACAUGCAACCAAUGGCCCAUCUAACCCACAUGCAAACCCUGGCCCCUCUGACACCACAAAUCCCACCCCUUUACCUGCUACCCCCACUGCCCCGAUUCCCAUUACCCUUAGCCUUCCAGCAAAUCCUGAUCCCUUAUCUGUUCCUGCUGCUGCCGACCUACCUCCUGACACUGUGCCCACACCGACCCACCCCCCACCACCUCUCCGUCACUCUAAUCGCUCCACGCACCCACCUGCUCAUUUCAAAGACUAUGUGGCUCAUCAUUCCGUCUUGCUCACGCCCCCGGCUCCCUCUCACUCCAUGUCCAGCACUCGGUAUCCUUUACAUCGGUACGUCUCUUAUUCAUGUUUAUCUCCUGGAUAUCGACAAUUUGUUUCUCACAUUUCCCAUCUAGUGGAGCCAAAUACUUAUGAACAGGCCUGUCAAGAUCCUCAAUGGGUUGCUGCAAUGCAAGCUGAAAUUAUUGCUCUCGAGAACAACAAAACUUGGAGUUUUGUCCCUCUUCCGCCUGGACAACGUCCCAUUGGCUGCAAAUGGGUUUUCAAACUCAAGUACCACUCCGAUGGCACCUUGGAGCAUUACAAGGCCCGGCUCGUCGCCAAGGGCUUCACCCAACGCGAAGGCAUUGACUACAAAGAGACUUUCGCACCGGUAGCUAAACUUAUCACUGUGCGCUGCUUAUUAACUGUGGCUGCUGUUCGACACUGGCCUUUACAUCAAAUGGACGUCCAAAACGCCUUCUUACAUGGCGAACUUCAGGAGGAGGUAUAUAUGCUGCCACCUCCGGGUUUUAGUCGACAGGGGGAGAAUGUCGUGUGUCGACUCCACAAAUCCUUAUAUGGUCUCAAACAGGCAUCGAGAAGUUGGUUUCGUGAAUUCUCCACAGCUAUAUGUGACAUUGGUUUUAGUCAAUCUAAGGCAGAUUACUCCUUGUUCACUCAAGUCAAGGGCAAUUCUCUCACUAUUGUGCUGUUAUAUGUUGAUGAUAUGGUCAUUACAGGAAACAAUGAGGCUGAAAUCAACAACCUGAAGGCAUUUCUCAGCAGUCGAUUUCGAAUUAAGGAUCUCGGACCCUUGAAAUAUUUUCUUGGAGUUGAGGUUGCGCGUUCGAAAGCCGGAGUCACGAUUUGCCAAAGAAAAUAUACACUAGACAUAUUGGAGGAGGCUGGAUUGCUUGGUGCUAAGCCUGCGAAGGUUCCCAUGGAACCUGAGUUGGUGUUAACACCCACAGGUAGUGCUUCACUUCAUGAACCUGCUCGAUAUAGACGCUUGGUUGGAAAAUUAAUUUAUCUAACAAUCACGAGGCCAGAAAUUGCAUAUACCGUCAACACCUUGAGCCAGUUUAUGCAAGAUCCUCAACGACACCACCUUGAUGCAGCAUAUCGACUUCUUCGAUAUCUCAAAGAGGCUCCUGGACAAGGUUUGGUGUUUUCUUCACAAAGCAACUUACAAUUAACUGGUUAUUGUGACGCAGAUUGGGCUUGUUGUCCCACUACGCGUCGAUCAGUGACCGGUUAUUGUAUCUUUCUUGGUAAAUCACUAGUGUCCUGGAAAAGUAAGAAGCAAGUCACGGUGGCUCGUUCAUCUGCAGAAGCAGAGAAUCGAUCGAUGGCUACAGCCACUUGUGAAUUAAGCUGGUUGCGGUAUCUGUUGGAGGAUUUACAUGUUAAGCAUCCCCAACCAGCAAAGUUAUUUUGUGACAAUCAAGCAGCCUUAUACAUUGCUGCAAAUCCUGUGUACCACGAGCGUACAAAGCACAUUGAGAUCGAUUGUCACACUGUCCGUGAACGAAUCCAAAAAGGAGAAAUCAAGACUGCCUAUGUUCGAACAGGGGAACAAGUCGCUGACUUAUUUACUAAACCACUACGUGUGCCUGUUUUCCAUUCGCAUCUAGGCAAGUUGGGUGUCAUCGACAUCCACACUCCAACUUGAGGGGGAGUGUUAAAGGAAAGAUAAUCUCAUGAUCUGAUUGUGAGCUAUUCUAGCAUUUGGUGAUUGGUCAACUCUUGGGCUAGAGUAAUUGUAGGAUGUAAAUACAAUUAGCUUGAUUAUAGACUCUGUUUACCUAAUAUAGCUUAUAGCAUCAGAUGAAGAAUAAGAAGAAGCAUUUGCGCCAUCCCCGGCUGAGGGAAUGACUCUACGUGCCACAUGGUAGGCACUUCGGUCUGAGAACUUCCCAUUGCGUUCAUAAUGCCAAAUUCGACAAUCCACAACCGAACACAUACUGAUGGGAAGGCUGACAAUUAGUUCCAUUUCCUCCUGAGCCCAUUGUCACGAGUCGGCAAGGAAGAGAUUAUCCACCGUCACUGCAACAUCCCAGUACACCAACGGUGGACUCAAAAUUCAAAAGUAGGAGUCUCUCGACAACCAAUUAUCUUGCCAAAUUCUGAUAUUCUUCCCAACACUCAAAGUAAUGCUAGGAAGACUAAAUUUGUAGAUAAAGUUUUAGAAACUAAAAGACAUGAAAGUUGUUAAUUGGUUUAUUACCUAAGCUUUGAUAAACGUGCUCAUUCUUAUUGGUGACACAUCAUUUAGUUUGUAAAUUUUGUUUCAAAAUUUUGUUUCCCUAGCAUUAGAAAAAGUACCACGGAUGAAAAUAAGGUGAAAAAAUAGGAUACCACCACAUCUUCCAUUCCCUUACGGUCUUCAUGCCAUACCCCACCAUCAUCCUCAUGACUAUGUGGCCAAUUCCUCUUUUAUCUUCAAUCAGCUUUUUGGUAGAAAAUUUGGUGUUACGAUCGCCAAGUUUGACCCAAUUUUCUUUUGCUCUUUGUCUCCAAAAUAGCUCCUCUUGUUCAAGCAAAUUAUUUAGUCUUCCACUUAGCUCAUUCUUUUGCUCGAUAUUGACUCUUCAGUAGAAGGUUGACCCAAAAUACUUGUAACUUUAUCCUCCACUUCCAUAACUGCACGCGGCCCAGUCGUGGCAAGUAAUUCGCUUGUAUUAAAACAACCAUAAAUAAUAGUUCAGUAAAGACUUAUGAUAAAAACCAAAUUAGGCUAAGCCACACAAUUGAAUGCAUAAUAAUGUGGAUCAAACUCGCCAUUUAUGAAUCGAACUUGAGACUUCUCAUUUAAAUGUGAAAAAAUACCACUAGGUCAUAAUAUUUCACUACGUCAAAUUUUGUCUUUAUGAACUAGCCAAAUCUAAACUGAACGGGAAAUUUUAUUUGAACCCAAAUAUCUUAUCUCUACACCCAACUAACAAGUUUUAUCUACCAAACUUCCAAGUUUACCCUUAAAUAAAUAAGAAUAAGAAAAGAAAAGAAAAGAAAUAUUGGUGUUUUUAUCUCUAGACCCCAUAACUCCAAAAAUGGCACACCAGUGUACUCCUCCAUUAUUUCUGGCAAAACCCACCCAAAUAACAACAAAAUAUUUUCUCGAGUUUAUCAACGAAUCAACUUACUAGAAACCCUCAUCAACCCUCAUUUAUAAUUUCAAUGUAGGUUUUUGGCUGAUAUAUUUGCUUGUUUGAACCAUUAUUUAGGAGUUGGCUACUUGCAUAAAUUAUUAAAACUAACAAGUCAGCUUGCUAGAAACCCUUGUUGCUAUCUCUUCUAAAUAGACACUGACAUGGAAACUUUUUUCUCAUAUUGCAGGAAUUUGUUUCAUGCAACACGGAUUUCUAGCCAACUUACUUGUUGAUGAACUCAGGAGCAUAUUUUGUUGUCAUUUAGGGUGUGUUUAGCGGGAAAUAAUGGAGGAGUGCAAAUGUGUGCCCUUUUUUUGAGUUAUUGGGUGUAGAGAUAAAAACACAAAUGUUUAUUUUCUUUUAUUUUCUUAUUCGUAUUUAUUUAAAGGCAAACUUAAAAGUUUAGUAAAGAAAAUUUUUUAGUUGGGUGUAGAGAUAAAAUAGCUGAGUCCAAAUAAAAUUUCUCAAUGGCCACGUGAUUAUAAUAUCCUUGACCAGGUCAGCGUGGAAGAUGGCAAGGAAACCGCCACGCAUAUUGUGAAGUCAAGAAAAGAGGCCUUAUCAUAAGUUCAUAACACAAGAGAUGGAUCAGUCUUUGACAUUUAUUCUCUCAGCAUCUCAUCCUUUUUAGUAAUCGAACGAUCAUGGAUUCAACGACCAAUGAAGGAGCCUCUUCCUCCUUGUCUUCUUCUUACACCCAGUCAUGGACAUAUGAUGUCUCCCUCAGUUUUAGAGGAGAGGAUACCCGCUAAAAUUUUGUAGGUCAUCUGUACAACAAUUUGGUUCAGAAGGGAAUCAAAACCUUCAUGGACGAUGAGGCGCUUAAAAGAGGAGCGGAAAUAUCAUUGGCGCUUCUCAAAGAAAUUGAGGAUUCGAGGAUUUCUCUCGUUGUCUUCUCCGAAAACUACGCUUCCUCAGAGUGGUGCUUAGAUGAACUCGUUCACAUCUUUCACUGUAAAAAGCAACUGCAGCAGAUGGUUUUUCCAGUUUUUUACAAGGUGGAUCCAUCGGAUGUGAGGAACCAAAGAGAGUUUCGGUAAGGCACUUGCUGACCAUGAAAGCAAACUCAAAGAUAACAUGGACAAGGUGUUGAGAUGGAGAGAAACUCUUACAAAAGCAGCAAAUUUGUCUGGCUGGUCAUUCCUGGCCGACGGGUAUUUUUCUGACCUCUAUGUACUUGCAAACCUAUCAUUCAAAUGUAAAAUAAGUGUAUUAUUUGCUUCAAUUCAUAAGCAUAAUUUGAAGGCUUUUUAGCCAAAAUGGUUUUUCUGAGCAUAACUCUUUAUUUUUUUCUUUAAGAUUUAAAAUCAAUAGAAAUGGUUCUUGAGAUUGUUCAUCGUCAAUCAUUUUGGAUAUUCUGUGAAAAAAAAAUUUCUAUUAAAUUGAGUGUAUUUUUGUCAAAUCAAUCACUCCACUUGAACUGGUGGUUUCUUCAAUUUAGCUGAGAUUUCUCAUAUAAUGACUAAAAUGAUUGACGAUGGACACUCUCAAGAGACACUUCUAUCGAUUUUAAAUUUCACUGACGAAAAUGACGAGUUAUAACAAUUUUAGCAACUAUUUUAGUUAAAAAGACUAACAUAAAUAUAUAAUAUUUGAGAAAUGCUAAGGAGACCCUCUCAAAAUAGAACUCUCUCACAUCUCAUAGUUUAGUGUUAGUUCCCUUGCCAACAUUCUAAAAUAUUGUGACAAAAAGUUCAUGGAGAGUCUCACUUUUGAGAAAUUAUCCUUAGCAUUUUUUUCAUAAUAUUUUGAUAUUAUUCCCUCACAAUUUAUAGGAAAACUUGUUUAAGUUAUUCAUUAUUAGUAUGUGAAGUGAACACAUAUUGGAGAAUAUGAUCCCACAUCGGCCAUAUGAUAACAUAAUAUACCACAAAUAUAUAAGAGUUUGCACUCCUAAUACUAGCAAGAAUUUUUGUAGUAAAAUCUAAUACUGAGUAGUAUGAGAGUUUUUAUGAUUAGUAUUUCACUAUUAUGUGGAAUAUCCAAAUAUUUUUUUUAGUAUGGUCUAAUAUUAUUCAUUUAGUUCAAAAAUAUUUGACUUUCUUUUUCUUGAGUAGAGUUGUCUGUCUACACUUAAAAUAUUGAUUACAUGGAACAUCCACGAAUUUCUUGUAGUUUAAUUAUAAUAAUGUUCUUUUUUAUGCUUUUAAACUUGUAGGCAUGAAUAUAAAUUUAUUCAAAAAAUUGUUGAAGAGAUUUCGGUCCAAGUUUUAGGUAUUACCCAUUUGAACGUGGCAAAGUACCCAUUUGGAAUAGAGUCACGUGUCAAACAAUCCAGUACGGUUUUUUUGGAUCUUGGAUCUGUUCCUGUCCUCGAUCGCGAGCAAUUAGCCCUCCAACUCCGUCAAGGACAAACCGAAGAUCAAAAGCGCCACCAGCACCAUUUCCUCUCCAGUCUCUCCCCCUCACGCCGUUCCUCCGACGCCGCACCGCCCGCAACCACCGCCAAUUUUGAUCAAGACCGAGAUUGGGAUAGAGAGAGAGACCGAGAGAGAGACGGAGAUCGAGAACGCAUUCCUUUAAUGGUGUUGCUUCCGCCCUCGCUUUCUUAGCCGGAAGAUUUGUUAGGAUUCGCUUUCUUAUGUAUGCUGUGUUACUGAUUGGUUUGGCGAUGCAGGCACAAGAUUGCAGGCAGCUGGAAAGUCGGAUAAGGAGGAAGAAGAAGGAUCUGAUAGUUUUGGGAUUCUUAACCGCUUUGAUGGUCAUCAUCGUUAUAGUUAGAGCAAGUCCACCCCUGUGGACUUUGCGCCAACACCCAGCGCAUUUAUCCACUCAAAUGAACAGUAACAGACUCCAAUGAACAGUAAUAGGCCAAGGCAUCUCCACCCCUAAAACUAAAUAGCCUAGUCAAUUUUAUUAAAAUAUUAUUAAUUUUUAUUAUAAAAUAAUAAUUUUUAUUAAAGUACUCUCUGGACUCCAUUCUUCUUUUUCUUCCGUGAUUUUCCAACUGUGCUGUCAAGCACAGUUUCACCACUUUUUCUUCCCUUCUUCUUUUUCUUCUCUUCAAACCACCAAAACCCAUGUGAGAUUUUAGCCAAGUUCGGCCCUACCCCACGAGCCGCAACCACCAAACGAACCCGACGACCCGCAAUCCCACCCAACCCUCCUCCCCCAUCCCCUCACCCAUUGGUGCGCCAACCAAAACUGCAAACCCUUCGCCGUCGAUCCUCUCGAUCCCCGGAGCUCCUCCGAUUGCGACUGGUUCUCCGACGCCGCCUCCGAUUCAGACCAUGACGUCAGCUACUUCGUCACCGAUCUAUUCAAUCGCUGCAGCUCCGAGCAACAGCCCAAGACCGAGAGGGAGAGUUUUGGAUAUGGAAGCUCGAGUUGGGGUGGUGGUGGAAGGAAAGCAGAGAGCUUCGAAUUCAGCUCAAGGAGAUGUGGCGGUAUCGCCUGGCAUCAUGUAGGCCGGGCAAGAGCUCAGCACAUUCUGAGCCGGCCUAGAGACCAGCUUGGGCUGGGUGCCAGCCUAUCUGCUCGGCUGGAAUGGAUUGGCUGGGUGCCGGGCCAAUAAUUUGGCUGGGUGCUGGCCUAAAGGUUCCCCGGUGGAACUGCUCUUAUAGGAGUGGUGGCAGCUUGAUAGGCGUCCGCCUAGCCAAUGGAGGUGGCGAAAAAACGAUAUUUUUUUAUUUUUUAUUUCAUUUUUUCAAUAAAAUCGAAGAGACUUUUGAAUACUUAGAGCAUCUCCAAAAAAUAUGUUAAAUAUAAUAGGUUAAAAUUUUAUUUGAUGGUUGAUGUGAUAAAUUGAAUACAAGUGCUUUUUUUUUUUACCCAAUGAAUGUAUCAAAUAUUUAUUUUAUUAUUUUAUUGGGCCUAAAGUUACAUUAACUAUUAAAAAAUAAUAAAAAAAUAUUGUAGUUUUAUUUUAUUGGUUGUUAAUGAGACCCACGUAUUAAAAAAUUCAAUUAAAUAUAUUUGAUUCCUUCUUUGUUUGUUGUAAAAAAAAGACAGCUAGAAAGUAAACCGAAGAUCAAAAGCGCCACCAGCACCAUUUCCUCUCCAGUCUCUCCCCCUCACGCCGUUCCUCCGACGCCGCACCGCCCGCAACCACCGCUAAUUUUGAUCAAGACCGAGAUUGGGAUAGAGAGAGAGAGAGAGAGACCGAGAGAGAGACGGAGAUCGAGAACGCAUUCCUUUAAUGGCAAGGACGGAGCUACCAUGGGCCUAGGGGCGGAUGCCCCCACUGAGAUUUUUCUGAUGCUGACUCUUUUGCGGGAUUGAUUCUCAGAGGACGAGUACUGUGUGCUGCCUUAUGAUUGCCAUCCUCAUUAUAUGGCAUAGAAUAGAUUGACAUUCGAGCCCAUAUUCAUUGAUUAAUUUUUCCUUUUCCAGAUUAAUCCCUAUCUUCUUCACCCUGAGAUGAAUAUCAUCAGCAGUUCGUUGGUCCUACAAAGCGUCGUGCACCAACAUUUAUCUUGUCUCCACCUUUCGGCUUUCACAUUAAGCUUAUAGUUUGACAAAUGUCCCAGCGAAAGAUAAUUUUCAUCAUGCUGGCAUGCUGCUCAAACUGAUCGGGUUUUGCAGCAGCAGAGGCAGAGCCCCCACUGAUAUUUUUCUGGUUUUGCUCUCCGAUCUGGUUCUGCAAAAGCAGAGCUAGGUUUUAUUUUUUUUUUAAAUCCAGGCCAAAACGACGUCGUUUUGGUCCUGGUAUAAAAAAAAUAGUAAACGAAACGGCGUCGUUUCGUAUAUGUUUGAAAAAAAUAAAAGGUAUGUAUAGUGGGGGACUGCUUGUCCCCACCCGGUCCACCCCCAUUCCAUUAUUUCCAUCUUUCCGUUUCCUUUGCCAAUCAGAGAGCAGCUCUUCACCAAUUCCCCAAAUUCCAAGCAGGCAGCAGCAGAAACGGAACAGAACAGAAGCAACAAAGGUGUUGUUCCCAGGCUCCCAGCCAACCACGCGCAGCCAGCCACUCACCAGCCAGCCGCUCUAGUCGACAUAUAUAUAUUUAGGUAAUUUUUUUAAUUUCUAAAUCUAUAAUCCCUAACCCUAAUUAAUUAUUUAAGAUGAAUUUUUGUUUAAUUGGUAUAGAAAUAUAGAAUCAUAUGGUAAUGCACUAAUAUGGUUAUUGGUUAUUGAUAUGAAUUCUAUGAUUAUUGAUGAAUGAAAUUAUGAAAUUACAAAUUCUAUGAAUAUGGGUAUACAUUUAUUCAUAUGAUUAGUUGAAUUAAAUGUUUAUUUGUUGAAUAAUUUGUAUGUUUAUUGGUAUUGCCAUAUUGGUUAUUGGUUAAUUGAAUUGUUGCCUUGGUUGGAUAUGGAUUAGUUAUUAAGUAUAUUAAUAUAGUAUACUCUAGGAUUAAGAGUCUAAGAAUUUUAUUGAGAUUUUUAUUCUAUAAAUUCUACAAAUUACGUAUGAACCUUAUUUGUUAUUGGUAUCAAUAUGAUUGACUUUGCAGACUGAAACAUCAUGGAGAGGUUUUUUAAAAAAAAAUAUUAGUGCCGCCAUCCCCAGUUAUUGAGAAAAAUUAUGAUACUCAAGGACAAGAUAGUACAUAAUUUAUUUUAUCAAAUCUUCCAUUAGAUCCUGGUAAGCGAAUUCGAAUUUUGGAUUACAAUCCUAAUAUUCGAGAUCAAGUACGAAGAGCGUAUGUGCUAGCUGGUCCUCAACAACCUAAAACCCAUAAUUUUCCUUACAAGAAAUAUGGAGACACGCAAAGACGAUUCAACCCUGCUUGGUUUGAUGAUUUUCCUACUUGGUUGGAAUAUAGUGUAGAAAAAGAUGCUGCCUUUUGUCUGUGUUGCUACCUUUUUAAACCAAACAUUGGAGAACAAGCAGGUGGUGAUUUCCUUGUUGGCGAAGGAUUUUCUAACUGGAAGAAGAAAGAAAGACUUCUAACUUAUAUUGGAGGCGUCAAUAGUGCACACAAUCAAGCAUGGAAUAGUUUUGAAGCUUUAAGGAGUCAAAAGCAACAUAUCCAAUCUUUUUUCUCUAAAACUCAUGAUGAAGCUCGGAUUCAAUAUAGGGCUCGGUUGAAUGCAUCAAUCGAUUGUUGUCGAUUUCUUUUGAGACAAAGACUUGCAUUUCGUGGUAAUGAUGAAUCUGAACAUUCAAGCAAUCAUGGGAACUUUCUUGAGCUUCUACAGUUUCUUGCCAACCAUAAUAAGGAUGUGAAAGCCGUUACUUUGAAAAAUGAUCCGGAGAAUCACUAAUUGACAUCACCAGAUAUUCAAAAAGACAUUGUAAAUGCUUGUGCAACUGAGACCAUCAGGGCUAUUAUUAAAGACAUUGGCACUUCGUUGUUUUCUAUUUUGAUUGAUGAAUCUCGCGACGUAUCAACAAAGGAACAAAUGGCUAUUGUAUUGCGUUAUAUGGACAAGAAUGGGCAUGUCAUUGAGCGCCUUAUUGGCAUUGAGCAUGUUACUAGUACCGCUGCUCUCUCACUCAAGGAAACCAUUGAUGAGGUAUUUUCUAGGCAUAAAUUGAGCAUGUCUAGGUUGCGUGGGCAAGGUUACGAUGGGGCCAGCAAUAUGCAAGGUGAGUUCAAUGGUCUUAAAGCUCUAAUUAUGAAAGAAAAUGGUUGUGCUUAUUAUAUUCAUUGCUUUGCACAUCAACUUCAAUUAGCUCUUGUAGCUGUGGCAAAGAAGAACAUCCAAAUUGAGUCUCUUUUAGUAUAGUUACUAUUUUGGUAAAUGUUGUUGGAGCUUCAUCGAAGCGUUGUGAUCUUCUUCGAGAGAAGCAAUCUAUUGCAGUUAUUGAAGCACUAAACAGUGGUGAGUUUACAAGUGGGAAAGGCAAAAAUCAAGAAACUACUUUGAAACGUGCUGGAGAAACACGUUGGGGUUCACAUUUGGGUACUUUAGUAAGUAUAAUGACUAUGUUUUCAUCCAUACUUGAUGUACUUGAAGUAAUAGCAGAUGAUGGAGUAAGCUCUCAACAAAGAUGUGAAGCGAAUAAUUUAUUGGAUUCCAUGCAAUCAUUUGAUUUUGUGUUUAAUCUACACUUGAUGAAAGAUAUACUAGGAAUAACCAAUGAAUUGUCAAGCAUUGUAAAGGAAGGAUCAGGAUAUUGUAAAUGCCAUGAAGUUGGUUGGAGUUUGUAAGCAAAGGUUGGAGAUAAUGAGGAAAACUGGUUGGGAUUCUUUACUUAGUGAAGUCUCAAAAUUUUGUCUUAAACAUAAUAUUGAUGUGCCUAAUAUGGAUGAUAUGUUUCUUUCUCAAAGGCGAGGGCAACGAAAAGCACAAGCAGUCACAAAUAUGCAUCAUUAUUGUGUUGGGAUAUUUUAUGUUGUUUUGGAUUGGCAGCUCCAAGAACUAAAUAAUCGUUUCAAUGAGACCAACACUGAGUUACUUCUUUGUUUGGCAUGUUUAUGUCCAGCUGACUCCUUCUCUGCUUUUGAUAGCCAAAAGCUAUUGCGUCUUGCCCAGUUUUAUCCUAAAGACUUCUCUUUGAAUGAGCUGGUGAUACUUAAGAUUCAACUUGAGACUUACAUUGUGGAUAUGCGAUCUAGCAUUGAGUUUUCAGGUUUAAAAGACAUUGGAGAUCUUGCAAAGAAAAUGGUUCACUGCAAAAAGCACAAGGUGUAUUCGCUGGUUUACUUGUUUUUGACAUCCAGUUGCUACUGCAACCGUUGAAAGAGCAUUUUCGGCCAUGAAAAUUCUGAAGAAUCGAUUGAGAAAUCGGAUGGGAGAUCAAUGGAUGAAUGAUAACAUGAUUAUUUUUAUAGAGAGAGAGAUAUUUGAUGGUAUUGAUAAUGAUGUUGUCAUGCAACGCUUUCAGAACAUGAAAACGCGUCGAGGGAUAUUGUAAGGGACUGUUGUAUGAAAAACUUUCUGGAUUAAUAUACAAGUAUGUGUUUAGUAAAUUCUUGAGCUUUUUAAUUAUGACUUUAUUAUUUGAUGAUGCCCUCAUUCACACAAAUCUCUGGCUUCGUCCCUGUUUAAUGGUGCUGCUUCCGCCCUCGCUUUCUUAGCCGGAAGAUUUGUUAAGAUUCGCUUUCUUAUGUAUGCUGUGUUACUGAUUGGUUUGGCGAUGCAGGCACAAGAUUGCAGGCAGCUGGAAAGUCAGAUAAGGAGGAAGAAGAAGGAUCUGAUAGUUUUGGGAUUCUUAACCGCUUUGAUGGUCAUCAUCGUUAUAGUUAUAGGAGUGGUGGCAGCUUGAUAGGCGUCCGCCUAGCCAAUGGAGGUGGCGAAAAAACGAUAUUUUUUUAUUUUUUAUUUCAUUUUUUCAAUAAAAUCGAAGAGACUUUUGAAUACUUAGAGCAUCUCCAAAAAAUAUGUUAAAUAUAAUAGGUUAAAAUUUUAUUUGAUGGUUGAUGUGAUAAAUUGAAUACAAGUGCUAUUUUUUUUUUCCCCAAUGAAUGUAUCAAAUAUUUAUUUUAUUAUUUUUUUGGGCCUAGAGUUACAUUAACUAUUAAAAAAUAAUAAAAAAAUAUUGUAGUUUUAUUUUAUUGGUUGUUAAUGAGACCCACGUAUUAAAAAAUUCAAUUCAAUAUAUUUGACUCCUUCUUUGUUUGUUGUAAAAAAAAGACAGCUAGAAAGUAAGGCGUCAAAUGACUCACAUGUCACAUCAUAUAUGGCAUAUCCAUUGGAUAACACCUAAAUGUCUUUUAAUCUUAUUUGACAUCUCCUUUGGAGAUGGUCUUAUAUGAACAUCUAUUAUAAGGUUGUUCUCUUGUUUUCAGUAUGUUCUAAUAUUUUAUAAUUUAUGUCAUUUUAAUUUGCAAUGUAUGUAUCCAAUACAAUUAUGUAUUUUUAAGUAUGCCACGUUAUGUACUAUUUACUUGAUAAUUUGAAUCAAAUCCACACCAUCUCAAAAAAAUUCCAAUCCAUCUCAAUACAUUUGGGUCAAAACUUGGAGUUGCAAAGCACGGCAGACUACAAUUUGAAAAUUACUUUUCAGGUUUUAUAAAUAAAUAAAAAAUCACUUUUCAAUUAAAAAAAAAAACACCUAACCCGAAUCAAAAAAAUUGAACCAAAAUCAAACUUAACCUAAGAAAAUUGAAUGAAUAGUAAUUUCAGUUUGAUUUUCGUUUUGACAAAAAACUGACCGAUUGAAACGGACCCACCCUUUAUGAUAGGUUUGGUUCCUUGUAUAAUGAAUAGGUGACAUGCAUCAAAAUCUACUAUGUUUCAUUUCUUGUAUUUAUGCAACAAAAAGUUCUUCUCCUAUAAUUAAUCAUGUAUAUCAAUUCUUUCUUAGUAAUUCUCAAAACUACAUUUUCAGCCAAGAGUUAAUCAAAUGUGGUAGUUACAUGUAAAGACAGAGAAGACACUUACAUAUUAAUAUUGAACUAAUAUUAAAGCAUUACAACUAGAAUAUUUUCAAGUUAAAUCAUCACUUUAUUGAACCUAAAAGAGAGAGAAGCUAAUAAAUUAGGAAAAGGAAAUUGAUAGCAGGUAUUGUCAAAUCUAUGAAAAAAGGAUAUGGAUACUCUAAGCUUGAGAGGAAUGCAAAGAACAUGCUAAUUAGUCAUUCCCCAUAAAAUUAAUUAAGUUCCUUCAAUUUUAUUAUCAUAAAUUGUUUGCAUGAUUAAUUUAUUAGGUGUGGCUAGUGAUGAAAGAAAGCAUGUUGUUCCUAAUUGGAGGACUAGCAAGGUGUUUAAGAUGCAACAAAUGAGGUGAUGGGUAGAGUCUUGAGAAACUAUGGGGAGGGGAGCAGGAGAAACUAGUUCACGAAAAAGAAAACCCAUUUCUAUUCAAACCCUAAAGCCCAUUUCUAUUCAAACCCUACACCCAAGUCAAAGCCACAACAACCAAACCAAAACCAUUAAACAAUGAAGGAAUUUAACACAAAGUGACAAACAUAUACAUUGGGAUAGCAGAAAAGUCUAAACCCACUUCAAACCCUCAAACACUGACAUUACAAAACAACCCACCGACAAAUUUCACAAGAAAACAACACCCACUUAUCAAACUGAACAAAAGCCAUAUUGGGACCACUAAAAGUAAAGGAGAUUCGAUUUACUAACCAUAUUGUGGAGGCUUUCCAUUUUUUCGAUAUAUUUUUGCAUCGCAAUCAACCUAAAUCACCCUCGCAAACAACCAAAUUCGAAUUAUUCUUGACAAUCCUAUAAUUUAGUCGAAUCUAAUAGGUUUCAUUGAAUCUUAUGUAAAAAAUCCCCAAUAUUUUUUCAAACCCCAAGUCUUACAGUAGAAAAGAAUUUGUAGAAAGUGAAGAAAAGUAAGGGAUUAGGUGGGACCAAGGUAUUAAAUAUCGAUGAUAUCGGAAAUAUCGGUAGUCCGAAAACACGGAAAUAUCAGGAUAUUAUCGAUAUCGAUAAAAAUAAUAUGGAAACCACAGAAAUUGUAAGAAAAACUUGAAAAUUUUUAUUGAAACUUUGCAGGAUGUUUAUUUAGUCAAUUAUCUAUUAGUUUAUCACAAAAAAUUGGAAGGAAAUGCAUUGCAUGAUGGAUUUAACAUUAUCAAGUUGAUUAUAUAACGAGCUGGCAAACAUUGUGAAUGUAGAAAAUAUGUAGUAAUUAAUGAAAGAAGUUUAAACACACCAUAAUCAUUUAUAUAUAAUGAAUUAGUACAAUAUUUUACACUUUAUACAUUGCAUGGUAAAAUACAUGAGUGACUUAGUACCACAUAGAGUUCCUAUGAGGUUCAAAUUUUUCACUAUCUUCAUCAUCUCUAUGUGUAGAGUGAGUGUAUUGUGAAGAGUAGUUAUCAAAUGAUAAAUCCCCAAAAUAGUUUUGCAUGUAAUUGUUAACAUGCCACCCAUAUGGAUCCGAGAUUGGUUGACGUUGUUCAUAAGCAAAAUCAUUUGAAGAUUGAGUCUCGGAUUGUUUCCAUGAGUCGCUCGAUUCCAUUCCAACAUGAAUGGGAUAUGAAGGGUAGGGAAAUGGUUGGUUAUGAGUAUAACCAUAGUUACUACUUCCCACUCCAACAGAGUUUGAAGUUAUAGAUAACGAGUCAUCUUCUUGACUUGACAAAAUCCCCUUACCUCUUUCUCUACGAGUAUAGUCAUUCCCUAUGGCACCAAUUCCUAGUCAUGCCCGCCUACUGCCAUAGUCCUCAUCAUGUGUUGCAUGCGUGAAGUUUGCCUCACCAGUGAAAGGGCUCAUAAAUCCGGGAGGUGGUCCAACAUAGUUUCCAUAUCCACCACCACUACCUCCAGCUCCACUAUAUCCUUCAUCAUUCCCACCUCUGGUGGUAGGUGAGUCUCCUGAUCUUGUACUAGAGCUAUCAUUAGUAUCAGCACGAUAUUGUGGUUGUGUAGGGUUGGAAGAAUGUGGACUUCCAGUGUUUCUUGGUCUUGGGCACAAAAGUUCUUCCAAAGAGUCAGCGCUGCUAGAUCCCACCUCCUCCUCUAAUACUCUUUCUACAUUUAUCCCUUCAUUACGUGCUUCUUCAGCAACUCUGAGAGCUGGGUUGCCUUCAUCAUCAUCUAAAUGAAGAGGUCUAAUCCAAUGAUAAAGUUGGUUACCCUCUGUAUCAUCAUCUUCAGCAAUAAUAUCAAACACAUCUAGUGGGUCACCAUGGUCGACAUGAUCUAUUUUUGCUUCCUUAUCUCGAAUUUGAAGCUUCAUGUUGUAGUAGCAAUAAACUAAUUUUUCCAACCUACUAUGAGCCAACCUAUUUCUUUGCUUUGUGUGUAUGAGUGCAAAUGUGCUCCAAUUUCUUUCACAAGCAGAUGAGGAAGCUGUUUGUGAUAAUACUUUGAUUGCUAACUUUCUCACAGUUGGUGCAUCGGUCCCAUACAUAAUUCACCAUUCAGCUACAAUGAAAAACAAUGUUGAUAAGCCUAAUAACUCCAACAAAUUCUAUUAUAAACUUAUCGUGAAAUAUGUUUACACUCACUAGGAGACAUUUUUGUUCGAGCAGCAACUGAUGUUGGUUCUCCAAAAGUUCUUCUUACAUCUUUAAACCAUGUUAGCUGAAUUCAAUAAAUCGUAUUAGUUUAAUCCAACAAAGUAAUUAUUAUCAUUUAAGUAAUUGUGUACCUUAUUUCCAAAUUGGUCAACUGCUGGUGAUGCAGGGUCUAAUUUAGAGUAUACAUUAUGUAAAGCACGUAUAAGGGUACCAUCAUCUCCAAUACCGGGUUUGUAUUGGUAUCGAGGAUUUAAAUAAUAUAUUGUUCAAAGAACACAUACUCUAAUAAGAGAAAUAAUACUUAUGCAACUAAAGAAAUGAAUUGCAAAUUAUGACAUAAUUUAUACAUGCUGCAUGCAAAUCGUGGUAUAAUGUUUUAUACCAUCGGUCUUCAAUUAUCUUUAUGACCCACCUUGCACCAUGUUUUCUUUCCAAUUCAUCCUUCACUACACACAUCAACUCAUAUAUUGCCCCUACAGUAGGAUACACUUCUGUGUCAACGAUCCGUAAAACUUUGUAAAGAGGUUCAAACACUUGGCACACAUGUUCUGAUUGAGUCUAAAAAGCAUGAUCAAGCAUUAUACUUUCCACCAUACGACCUACAUUUGAGCGGCUCAAAUUGUGGUUAUCCCAAUCGUCACUAGUGAAUAGUUGCUUCAACCCUAUUUUCUUCUUAAAUAGGUUGUCUAAUGCAAUAUAGUUGGUGGUGAAUCGAGUGGUAGCUAGACGAAUAAUGUCUCAUUUGCAAAAUUCACGCAUCUUUGCCAACAACCAACCGUGAUUGUAAAUAUAAUUUGUGAUCGUUCUAGCUCUUUUUACCACAGUAGCAACAUUCUCUCUCUUCCCCAUUGCCUCAAACAUGAGAUCAAUAAAAUGUGUUGCACAUGAUGUCCAAAACACAUUAUGAUGCUUCAUUAACUUUUUUUCAGCUUUGACAAAUGCAGAACCGUUGUCGGUCACGACUUGGACAACAUUAUGCUUUCUUACCUCCAUGAUUACAUCCCUCAAUAAUUUGUAAAUAUACUUGUAGUUCUUUAUAUGGUCUGAAGCAUCAACAGACUUAAAAAAAUGUCUUUCCCUUGGAGUAUACCAUGAAAUUUAUGAUAGACAAUCUGGUCGGGCUAGUCCAUCCGUCACACAUGAUUGUGCAACCAUUAGUUUCCUACUUUGACCUCAACUUGUUAACAUACUCGCCAAUGUCUUUAUACUUCAUAUCCAAAUAUUUGUUUCUUAUCUCAUAGGGAGUGGGAGGUUGUACUUCAACACCGGCCUGUUGACAUCCCACUACCAUAUUUUUGAAAUGAUGUGAUGAUACUUUCUUAGCAGGGACAUUUUCAUAGAUAAAGAACUUGCUAAUUAGACGCCUCAUUCCCUCCUUCACAUUACCUCCAAUGAAAUAACUCCAAACACUCUUUUGACGUGCUUUGGAUGACUUAUAUAAAUUUGGGGCUAUUGGUGGUGUUAGUUGUGAUUCUUUAAGACUGCCUCCCCGUAUCAUUUGUACACCACCACUUGUCCCUGAACCUUGUGCUCUAUUAGGAAUUUUAUGAAGGUGUUCUCUUUCCCAUGUUGAUUGUUUGGAGGCACGUAAUGCUUGUUUCAAACUGCGUCGUUCUUCAAGUCUCAUGCCAUCAUCACAUUCGUCCUCAUCGUCAUCAUCAUCACUGCCAACCGCUUGGCCAAUGACUUCUCCUCGUAGCCCAGCUCGAAUAUUUUCCAUUCCAUGUGUUAUCUUUUCCUUUUGCUGUUUUUUAUUUUUUUAAUAAUGUGCUGAUGAAUGCCUUCACUUCUGGGGGGACAUUAUCGCAUAGUUGGACAUUUUUUGCUGGAUCUAAUCCACUAAGAUGGUACUUAAGUCGUGUCACUCCGCCACUCUUCAUUACCCGACCACAAUAUUUGCAAAUUGUGCCAUGUUUGUUUCCGUCUAUUGGGUCUCCAUGUUCCCAAGCUGGAUCACGUUUAGCAACUCCACUGGACAUCUUAAACGUACCUAUAUUUAUUUUUCAUGAAAAUUAGAUAAUUAUUUUUUGGCCAAAAAAUAUAGUAGUGAUGACGGUUAUAUAAGAGAACCUAAAUAAUAAAGUUAUUCUAGAGAAGAAUUAAAUGAAAAUGAUUGUAAAAAUUUAAGUAAUUAUAAAAAUAAUAUGGAAUAAUAAAACCUAAAUUAAUGAAUAAUAAUCCAAUUUGAUAAAAAAAUAAUCCUUAAUAUAAAAACAUAGUGAUGAAUAAUAAUCCAAUUUGAUAAUAAUCCAAUUUAAUAAUAAUCCAAUUUGAUAAUAAUCCAAUUUAAUGAAUAAUAAUCCAAUUUGAUAAUAAAAAAAAACCUAAUAUUAAUGAAUAAUAAUCUAAUUUGAUAAUAAAACCUAAUAUUAAUAAAAUAAUAAUAACAUUAAACAUAUUAAAAUUAUCCUAGGGAAUAAUUAUACAACAUUACUUAAUUACUUAAAAAAAUUAACAUGUAAUUGUUAACAUUACUUAAUUACUUACAAAAAUUAACAUGCAAGUAUUAAUUACUUAAAAAAAUUAACAUACGAGUCCACACAAAUUUUUUUGUUGUUGUAUAAAUUACAAUAAUAUAAAUAUAAGUUUGUAAACUUACUUUAACUAUGGAACCCUUUGUGUUCAAGCUCUGGAAUGGAUCUGGAAUGGCUUUGAAAGGGGUAAGGGAAGAAGAAGAAACGAAAAUGCUCUGAAUGGCUCUGAUACUCCACCUCUGAGAAUGUGAAAGAAUAUCAUAGACAGUGGCACACGGUUUUGAAUGUGAAAGAAUAUCAUAGACUCAUAGUGGCACACGGUUUCAUUAUGAAAGCACUAUUACUUUUGUCCAUGGUCUGAAAUUGUAAAAAGUGAUUGUAAAAGUUGUCAGGUGAGUCAAAUAACCCAACCACACACACACACAGAGACACGCCACCACACACGCACACAACACAACACACGCACACAGUCCCUCCCUCUCGAUCCUUCUCUCUUCUCUGAGCUCCCUUAUCCCCUUUCUCCAUUCUCCCACACACAUGCACAGAGACCCAAGGUCUCUCGAUCCUUCUCCCACACACACGCACAAAGACCCAAGGUUUCUCGAUCCUUCUCUCACAUCGCCUUCUGCUCCUCCCUCGUUGGCGCCUUCUCUCUCCUUUCUCUCUGCACCGAGGGUCCGAGACCCACAUACACACACGCACACCAUCGCACCUGCUUCAGGAAGACACCCAUCAUCAUCAGCAACCUUGUCUUUCUCCCUCUCCUUCUCAUCUCUGCAACUCGGCGAAUACAGGAACUCUGGCAAGUUUCUUGAAUUUCUCCAGUUAGGUAAGCUUCGGGUUUGCCUCUUUUUGUUCUAGAUUGAAGCUUAUAUGUGAAAUUUAAGUUCAAAAUCGUGUUUUUGCAAGGUUUUUGGGAUGAAAUCGGCUCAGGAAUAGGCACACCCAUCUCCGGCGAGGCCGUGGGUGUCGACGAACUUUCUUAACACCUUCGACCGUUUCACGGAAAACGGAAUUUAUAAAAACAUUCAUCUCGUCUUCUAUUUCAUUUUGAUACCUAGAUCGGAGUCUAGGGUGUUCUUUUGCAGUCGGCCGGAGCUGUAGAAGCUCCGGCGUUUUUCUUCGAUUAGCACAGUUUCAAAAUAUCGCGAUAGUUUUGGAAAUAUCGCGAUAUUAUCGAUAAUAUCGCGAUAUUUUGACGAAAACCCGUUGGAUACCUAUUAAAAUAUCGGUAACGUGAAAAAUCGAUAAUAUCGACGAAAUAUUGCCAAUAUUAUCAGCAUUUGAGACCUUGGGUGGGACAAGUGAAAAAGUGGGAAGGGAGGAAAAGAUUAGUAGGGUAUUAUUGUCAUUUACCAUGAAAAAGUUGUCACAUAUCCUUUUUUAACUUUGAUUUGGAUGGAACACUAAUGGAAGGUCGACAUUGAUUCGCGAGGUUAAAAUUCAGGGACUACACUGAUCGAUUUUCAAUUUCAGAGAACAUCAUGAUUGAUAGGGUCAAUUUCAUAAAUCAUUUGUGAUAAAAACCCAAAUAGAAAAUAACUGAAAGUAUCAUCUGACUAAUCACCACUAAACGGGAAAGUCUGCUUAUGUGGAAGAAUGGUCAAAGUUUUAAAUUUGAAUUCAGGAUUUUUCCUAAAACAUGCCAAUGCCGUGUGUAUGUAUCGCCUAAUUAUGAUAUGACUGUUGGGCCUUCAUUUUCAACUAUCUAUUUUGUCUUGGGUGUGAACUUUUUUCCUUCCGGUCCUUUCCGGUCCUAGUGUAAGUUAAAAAUAGUAAUUCGUUUGUAUUAAAACAACUAUAAAUAAUAGUUCAGUAAAGACUUAUGAUAAAAAUCAAAUUAGGCUAAGCCACACAAUUGAAUGCAUAAUAAUGUGGAUCAAAUUCGCUAUUUAUAAAUCGAACUUGAGAUUUCUCACUUAAAAAUGAAAAAUAAUAUCUCUAGAUCAUAAUACAUCAGUACGUCAAUUUUUGUCUUUAUAAACUAGCCAAAUAAAAAAUGAAUUGGCCUAAUGGAGGUUGUUAAUAGAGAAAUGACUUUACUGAAAUCGGGAAUACAACUUUAAAAGAAGAACAAUUAGAGAAUACUCUCUGCUUACGUAAACUUCAAAAUUCAAAUCCCCCUUUGCUGUCUCUAAUGUUUUGAGUACUUAGAGAACCUAGCCAGCAACCAUAAUAACCACAAUCACAAGUUCCUAGCCCACUAUAGCAUAGUAAAUGACUAUUACUAAAUGACAGCACAAUUCCUAAUUAAAACACCGCGUGCAAGAAAUCAAGUUAGUAAGAAGUAUUCAAUCGAAUUUGAACCAGCCACCAAACUACAUUGAUGGCACUGCAUCAUGGCCACAUGAUUAUAAUUUCCUUGACCUCAGGUCAGCGUGGAAGAUGGCAAGGAAACUACUUCGCAUAUUGUGAAGUCGAGAAAAGAGACCUUAUCAUAAGUUCAUAACACAAGAGAUGGAUCAGUCUUUGACAUUUAAUCUCUCAGCCUCUCAUCAUUUUUAGUAAUCGAACGAUCAUGGAUUCAACGACCAAUGAAGGAGCCUCUUCCUCUUCUUCUUUCACCCAUUCAUGGACAUAUGAUGUCUUCCUUAAUUUUAGAGGAGAGGAUACCCGCUACAAUUUUGUAGGUCAUCUGUACUACAAUUUGGUUCAGAAGGGAAUCAAAACCUUCAUAGACGAUGAGGCGCUUAAAAGAGGAGAGGAAAUAUCGUUGGCGCUUCUCAAAGCAAUCGAGCAGUCGAGGAUUUCUCUUGUUGUCUUCUCCAAAAACUACGCUUCCUCACAGUGGUGCUUAGAUGAACUCAUUCACAUCUUUCACUGUAAAGAACAACUGCAGCAAAUGGUUAUUCCAGUUUUUUACAAGGUGGAUCCAUCGGAUGUGAGGAACCAAAGAGAGAGUUUCGGUAAGGCACUUGCUGACCAUGAAAGCAAACUCAAGGAUAACAUGGACAAGGUGUUGAGAUGGAGAAAAACUCUUACAAAAGCAGCAAAUUUGUCUGGCUGGUCGUUCCUGGCCGACGGGUAUUUUUCUGAUCUCUAUGUACUUGCAAACCUAUCAUUCAAAUGUAAAAUAAGCUUAUUAUUUGCUUCAAUUCAUAAGCAUAAUAUCAAGGCUUUUUAGCCAAAAUGAUUUUUCUGAGAUGAGCAUAACCUUUUACUGUUCUUGAAGAUUUACAAUCGAUAGAAGUGGAUCUUGAGAUUGUUCAUCAUCAAUCAUUUUGGUUAUUCCGUGAAAAAAAUCUUUGUUAAAUUGAGUGUAUUUUUGUCAAAUCAAUCACUCCACUUGGACUGGUGGUUUCUUCAGUUUAACUGAGAUUUCUCACAGAAUGAUCAAAGUGAUUGACAGUGGACUCUCUCAAGAACCACUUCUAUCGAUUUUAAAUUUCAAUGACUAAAGUGAAGAGUUAUAACAAUUUUAGUAACUAUUUUAGUUAAAAAGACUAACAUAAAUAUAUAAUAUUUGAGAAAUGCUAAGGAGACCCCUCUCAUAGAAAGAGUCUCCGUGAGCUCUCUCACACCUCAUAGUUUAGUGUUAGUUCCCCUGCCAACAUUAUAAAACAUUGUAGCAAAAAGUUCAUAAAGAGUCUCACUUUUUAGAAAUUAUCCUUAGCAUUUUAAUUUUUCAUAAUAUUUUGGUAUUAUUCCCUAACAAUAUUAUAGGAAAACUUGUUUAAGUUAUUCAUUAUUAGUAUGUGAAACAAACACAUAUUGGUGAAUAUUGUGACAUCCCACAUCGCCCAGGGGAGUGCUUCUUAAAUGUAUAUUUUCAUCCCUACCUAGCACGAGGCUUUUUGGGAGCUCACUGGCUUCGGGUUCUGUAGGAACUCCGAAGUUAAGCGAGAAAAAGGCCAGAGCACUUCCAAGAUGGGUGACCCACUAGGAAGUUGCUCGUGAGUUCCCAAAAACAAAACCGUGAGGGAAUGGUAAGCCCAAAACGGACAAUAUCGUGCUACGGUGAUGGAACAGGCCCGGGAUGUGACAAAUGGUAUCAGAGCCAAUCCCUGGUCGGAAAUGUGCCGACGAGGACGUCGAGCCCCUAAGGGGGGUGGAUUGUGACAUCCCACAUCGCCCAGGGGAGUGAUCCUUAAAUGUAUAUUCUCAUCCCUAUCUAGUACGAGGUCUUUUGGGAGCUCAUUGGCUUCGAGUUCCGUAAGAACUCCGAAGUUAAGCGAGAAAUAGGCCAUAGCACUCCUAGAAUGGGUGAUCCACUGGGAAGUUGCUUGUGAGUUCCCAAAAACAAAACCGUGAGGGAAUGGUAAGCCCAAAGCGGACAAUAUCAUGCUACAGUGGUAGAGCAUGCCCGGGAUGUGGUGGACCCGGGCCAGGAUGUGACAAAUAUGAUCCCACAUCGAUCAUAUGAUAAAAUAAUAUAUAACAAAUAUAUGAGAAUUUGCACUCCUAAUAUUAGCGAGAAUUUUUGUGGUAAAAUCUAAUAUUGAGUAGUAAGAGAUUAAAUUAAGACAAUAUCAGUAAUGUUGAUGGUGAAUCAUGUUCGGCCUAUAAAAUUUAUCAACACAUAGCUAAACGUCAUUCAUCUAUACUUAAUAUAUAAUGCCAACAAUCCAUUUGGGGUCACGUGCUUCACAACAAAGAAUGGGACACAAAUGCCCCCAAACAGAAAAGUUCAAAUCUAGCCGAAAUGAAUGCAUAUAAAAUAGUGAAUGGGUAAUUUUGUCAUAAAAAAGAAUUUUUUUAUUUUUUAUUACCUUUUUGUUAUGAUUAGUAUCUUACCAUUAUGUGGAAUAUCCAAUGAUUUCUUUCUUCUGGUCUAAUAUUAUUCAUUUAGUCCAAAUGUUUGACUUCCUUUUUCUUGAGUAGAGUUGUCUGCACUAGAAAUAUUGAUUACAUGGAACAUCCACGAAUUUCUUCUAAUUUAAUUAUAAUAAUGUUCUUUUUAUGCUUUUAAACUUGUAGGCACGAAUAUAAAUUUAUUCAAAAAAUUGUUGAAGAGAUUUCGGCCCGAGUUUUAGAGAGUACCCAUUUGAAUGUGGCAAAGUACCCAGUUGGAAUAGAGUCACGUGUCAAACAAUCCAGUUCGGUUUUUUCGGAUCCUCCUGUCCAACGCCCUCAAGGACAAACCGAAGAUCAAAAACGCCACCAGCGCCAUUUCCUCUCCAGUCUCUCCCC